rnacentral:rRNA from 1 species
CACGGACCGCACGAACGUUAUUCGGUAUCACUGGGCUUAAAGGGUGCGUAGGCGGCCUUGCAAGUUGGGUGUGAAAGCCCUCGGCUCGACCGAGGAAUUGCGCCCAAAACUGCCGGGCUCGAGAGAGACAGAGGUAAGCGGAACUAAUGGUGGAGCGGUGAAGUGCGUUGAUAUCAUUAGGAACACCGGUGGCGAAGGCGGCUUACUGGGUCUUUUCUGACACUGAGGCACGAAAGCCAGGGGAGCGAACGGG